rnacentral:rRNA from 1 species
CUGGGAACGUGACCGGGACUUAGUGCCGUAAAUCGGGCUGUCCAUCUGUUAAAUAACAGGUGAAGAAAGGGCCGGGCAAGACGGUGCCAGCCGCCGCGGUAAUACCGGCGGCUCGAGUGGUGGCCACUAUUACUGGGCUUAAAGCGUUCGUAGCUGGUCUGUUAAGUCUCUGGGGAAAUCUACUGGCUUAACCAAUAGGCGUCUCAGGGAUACUGGCAGACUAGGGACCGGGAGAGGUGAGAGGUACUCCAGGGGUAGGAGUGAAAUCCUGUAAUCCUUGGGGGACCACCUGUGGCGAAGGCGUCUCACCAGAACGGCUCCGACAGUGAGGGACGAAAGCUGGGGGAGCAAACCGGAUUAGAUACCCGGGUAGUCCCAGCCGUAAACGACGCGCGUUAGGUGUAUCGGUGACCACGAGUCACCGAGGUGCCGAAGAGAAAUCGUGAAACGUGCCGCCUGGGAAGUACGGUCGCAAGGCUGAAACUUAAAGGAAUUGGCGGGGGAGCACCACAACAGGUGGAGCCUGCGGUUUAAUCGGACUCAACGCCGGAAAUCUCACCGGAUAAGACAGCUGGAUGAUAGUCGGGCUGAAGACUCUACUUGACUAGCUGAGAGGAGGUGCAUGGCCGUCGUCAGUUCGUACUUGUGAAGCAUCCUGUUAAGUCAGGCAACGAGCGAGACCCACGCCAACAGUUGCCAGCUCGUCCUCCGGGAUGGUGGGGACACUGUUGGGACCGCCUCUGCUAAAGAGGAGGAAGGAAUGGGCAACGGUAGGUCAGCAUGCCCCGAAUUAUCCGGGCUACACGCGGGCUACAAUGGGUGGGACAAUGGGUAUCGACACCGAAAGGUGAAGGCAUCUCCUAAACCCAUCCUUAGUUCGGAUUGUGGCUGCAACUCGCCCACAUGAAGCUGAAUCUGUAUAAUCGUUCUCACGUGCACGUA